UCUUUUAUCUUGGGGAUUAUGUUAGGUUAGCCAAUUCUUGAGACUUUUUAACUCAAUUUUUUCUUGUAAUUUGUUGUUCUUGAAUGUUCUUGCUGUUAAUUUCAAUAAAAUCCGAUAGAAAUGGGUUGACACUUCAAUUUUGUUAGAUUUUUGUAUGCAAAACUACAUGGCUCUAUAGCAUAAUUGCAAUUAGGUUGCAAAAACUAGUGAUUUUAAUGGAAAGUUUGGACUUCUUUUCCUAUUUUUUUUAAAAGAUUUACUAGUUUAGAACAUUCAUAUUAAUCAUUAUUUUAGUCUUUUUAAUUUCAAGAAUGUCAUAGUUGAGAAAACCCAAGAAAUGCAUGCAAUUUAGGAAUUACAUGUGGAAUGUCUUUAGGAAGCUUUUAUGAACUAAAUUGGGGUUAAUUGGCUAACUAGGGUAUUAGGGCUUAGCCUUAAUGAACUAUGGAACAAUUGAAUUGCUUAAAAUGAAUUAAGUCUAUGAUAGAAUUAGGUUAAUCUACAUAAUAUUCCCGAGAUCUUUUUUCCAUUGAAUAUGUUACAUAAUUUCUUUUAUACUAUCUCUCAUUACCAAAAUUUCAUAUCAAUUCUUCUUUUACUUUUUCUUAGUUUCUUAAAACCAAUAAACCUCCACUCAAUUUUACCAAUUAAUAGAGGUUGUCCAUGGAUCGACCUUGUGCUUCCACUUUACUACGUGUUAGUAUUAGUAGUUGUGCGCAUUUUAGAAAUUCUAUUUGUUUUGGGUUAAGAUGAACUAAUGGCAUCAUUUUUAGCUCGAACAAAUUGGCCUUGUUGUCGGGGAUCCGUACAAUUGGCUUGUUUGAAUUUUGAAUUCCUUUAAAAAUAAAAAAUAAAAAAUAAGAGAAAUAAUAAAACCCAAAAAAUAGUUAGUGUGAUUAAAUUUCUUUUUGUGCAUGACCUGUUCCUUGCGGAGUGUACUUUGUGAUUUGAUUGUAGACAUUAACCGUGAGUAGAGGCGACUUCGAAGGAAAAUAACAAGAGGAGAAGAUGGAAAAUUUGAGGAGCUAAGACAAGAAGAAAAAGCAAGAGAGUACCAUGCGAGAGCUUGCGGAGCCGGAUUACAACCAUCAACCAUUGUGCAUAGUCUACCCGGAGACUACCGUUCCGUUCAAACUUAAACCAGGACUUGUGCAUCUCUUGCCUACAUUUAGAUGACAACCUGACGAGGAUCUGUACAAACACAUGAAAGAAUUUCAUCUCGUAUGGGAUGGAAUGCACCUGCAUGAGAUAACCCAAGAACAACUUAAUCUUAGGGCCUUUCCUUCUCUUUGAAGGAUGUAGCCAAAGAUUGGUUGUACUACUUACCGACAGGAUCCAUCAUUACAUUGAAUGGUUUGAAAAAGUUCAUAGAAAUUAUUUUCCCUAUAUCUAAGGCACAGAAUAUUAGAAAAGAAAUCUAUGGCAUUAAGCAAGUUGUAGGAGAGUAACUUUAUGAAUAUUGGAAAAGAUAUAAACAACUUUGUGCUUUAUUCCCUCAUUAUCAAAUUUCUUAACAAUAUCUAAUCCAAUAUUUCUGUUCAGGUUUGCUUCCAUCAGAAAGGAGCAACAUUGAUGUUGCCGUCGGAAGGGCUCUAGCUGACAAGAGACCCACCAAAGCUAGUCAACUCAUAUCCAUCGUGGUGGAAAAUUCUCAGAAUUUCGAAUCAAGGACUGUCAACCACAACAUUGGUCAGUCCAAGAGGUAAGUGAGCUUAGAACUCAAGUCUUUAAUCUUGUUUCUCUUUUUACACAGGUUUCUCAAGGUGGUCUUCCUCAUGUUAAGACAUAUGGAGCAUGUGGAGUAGUCGGACAUACCUCCGAAGCUUACCCAUAAGCUCAAGUGAAUGAUAUCGAAGGCUUCCAAAGGAAGUACGAUCCGUAUGGGAAAACCUACAAUCAAGGGUAGAGAGAUCAUGCUAACUUCAAGUGGGGAUCUCAAGGAAAAUUUGAAAACUGAAACCAAUCUUCCUCAUCAUCUUCCUCAGGAUCUUUACAAAAAGCUAAUGCAUGAUCAAGAAGUGCCAUAGGGAAAGCUCUAACGCAUGGGCUAUGCGUCUAGAGGGAAUUCAACGCAGAGAAGAUACAUUGAUCUAGACUAAUUGUGUCACAUCACCACUUGCAGUAUGGGCAUCUGCAGCAGGCGGCGUCUGAAAAGCUUCCGAGAGUCAGGAGGCUGACUAGGGCAUGGACUUUAAUGCUGCCCAUUCACCAAGUGGACAUGACCAACGCCUAUAAAUAGAUGAAGUGCCUCCAGAGUUCGAAGUCAGAGUUAGUACAUAGAAAUUAUCAAGACUCUCACUGUCUGUAAUUAGCGUAGUCGUAGUUUAAGCUGUGCUGUGGUGCCAAGACGAUCAGAAGGGUUGAGAACCACCACCAUCGCCGGUCAGGGAGCGGAGGAAGCCAAGCUUGAGAAAGAUACUUUGUCCAAAUCUUAUACAAGUGAUUGUACACAACAAAAUUGAGCCAAAGAGAUAUAAGAGAUUGUACUCUGCGGCUUGAUUCAGUUCAUUUCAUCUCAUUUAUCGCUUUCAUUGCA